rnacentral:rRNA from 1 species
AUUGAACGCUGGCGGCAUGCCUUACACAUGCCAGUCGAACGGUAACAGGUUAAGCUGACGAGUGGCGAACGGGUGAGUAAUGUAUCGGAACGUGCCCAGUCGUGGGGGAUAACUGCUCGAAAGGGCAGCUAAUACCGCAUACGACCUGAGGGUGAAAGCGGGGGAUCGCAAGACCUCGCGCGAUUGGAGCGGCCGAUAUCAGAUUAGGUAGUUGGUGAGGUAAAGGCUCACCAAGCCGACGAUCUGUAGCUGGUCUGAGAGGACGACCAGCCACACUGGGACUGAGACACGGCCCAGACUCCUACGGGAGGCAGCAGUGGGGAAUUUUGGACAAUGGGCGCAAGCCUGAUCCAGCCAUGCCGCGUGCGGGAAGAAGGCCUUCGGGUUGUAAACCGCUUUUGUCAGGGAAGAAAAGGUUCUGGCUAAUACCUGGGACUCAUGACGGUACCUGAAGAAUAAGCACCGGCUAACUACGUG